AUACGGAGGGAGCGAGCGUUAAUCGGAAUUACUGGGCGUAAAGCGCGCGUAGGCGGCUUUGUAAGUCGGAUGUGAAAGCCCCGGGCUUAACCUGGGAAUGGCAUUCGAUACUGCAUAACUAGAGUAUGGUAGAGGGAAGUGGAAUUUCCGGUGUAGCGGUGAAAUGCGUAGAUAUCGGAAGGAACACCAGUGGCGAAGGCGACUUCCUGGGCCAAUACUGACGCUGAGGUGCGAAAGCGUGGGGAGCAAACAGGAUUAGAUACCCGGGUAGUCC
rnacentral:rRNA from 1 species